rnacentral:lncRNA from 1 species
AGUGGGAAUAGAUGAGCUUAAUCCUCUAAAGACUUGAUGCUCCAGGGAAGGAGGAGGUCUAAUGCGGGGAGCACCUUGUCACAAUUUUUGAGGGUCUUACAAGAUGCAGUGCAGCUGAUCUCCUGGGAUGCCUCAGGCUGUGGUGUCCUCAGUGGAAAAGACUUCCUAGCAGUCUGCCCCUGCAAAAAGCACCAGCUAGGAAGUGUUUUAAACUCUUCUAUUCACUAACAAUUAUACAUAUGUGUAAAUUGUUUAUUUAAACUUGAUCUUUUUUUGCUUUUGCACAGGAGAAAAUCUAAGACUGAUGCUGGAGUUUGAUCCGAUGCCUUCGCCCUGUAUUUUCCUUUGGAGUGGAAUCUGCCAAACAAAGUGCUUCCUGAAUGUCAACUAUUAUUGCAAGAAUCCUCCCUUUAGCUGCAAUAUGAAACUCUUUUCAGCACUUAGGAGCUGAGAACUACAAAGUCUCUUGCAGCUUCGGUCACCCUGAACUUACUGUGUAUCUCAGCCUGGCUGAAAUCUUAUGGCGAUUCACCUGUUUCAGGUUUUCUAGCUGGGAAUGCAAGCGUUCGCUACCAUGUCUCACUUUAUUUUUUUGUUCAAGAAAG